UUUUAGCAAGUGACCAAAAAUUCAACAUUUCUGAGGAAGGAAGUGAUAAAAAAUCCAACACUUCUAAGGAAGAAAGCGAUGAAGGGUUCGCCAGCACUGAGGAAGCAAGUGAGAAAGAUUCCCAUAACUCUGAAGAACGUACAUGUAAGUGAACCCCCACUCAGAGAGAAUGAAUGGCAAAGGAAAGAGGCAUAGAAAGAAAAGUUACACUUCUAGGUCAAGGGUCCUCUUGGAUCCAUACCAUUCCCCAAAGCUUUCUCACCUAACCUUCUUUGAGGUCUAGAGAAGAGAAAGGAAAACACUCUCUCCUAUCUAGGUUUUCUGCCAUCUUCUUGUUCAGGAGACGGACUCUAUACAGUCAGUCUUCCCAAAUCCACAAAUUCUAUAUCCACAGAUUCCACAUGUCUUCAAAAUAAAUUCCAAAAACAAACACUACCAUUUUUCAUCACAUAAUAGUCGCACCGCCUUUUGGGGAAGGCAAAAGUGGCACUCUGGUUGUCUUCGCAUAAUAGUUGCACCCAUAAUUCAGUCGCCUGGUGGGUGAAUUAAGGGUGUGACUGCCUUUUUAGAGGCUGUGGCCCCAUAGCACAAAAAGGGAAGAAGGGCGGUUGGGCUAGAGCAAGGGUCCCCAAACUAAGGCCUGGGGGCCAGAUGCGGCCCUCCAAG
rnacentral:lncRNA from 11 species